rnacentral:rRNA from 1 species
GAUGAACGCUGGCGGCGUGCUUAACACAUGCAAGUCGAACGAGAACGGGUUAUAGCUUGCUAUAAUUGUCAGCUAAGUGGCGCACGGGUGAGUAAUGUAUAGGUAAUAUGCCUCUUACUAAGGGAUAACAAAUGGAAACGUUUGCUAAUACCUUAUACUCCUCAUUAACAGAAGUUAAUAGGGAAAGAUUUAUUGGUAAGAGAUUAGCCUGUAUUGUAUCAGUUAGUUGGUGGGGUAAUGGCUUACCAAGACUAUGACACAUAACUGGUUUGAGAGGAUGAUCAGUCACACUGGAACUGAGACACGGUCCAGACUCCUACGGGAGGCAGCAGUGGGGAAUAUUGCACAAUGGACGAAAGUCUGAUGCAGCAACGCCGCGUGGAGGAUGACACAUUUCGGUGCGUAAACUCCUUUUAUAUGAGAAGAUAAUGACGGUAUUAUAUGAAUAAGCACCGGCUAACUCCGUGCCAGCCGCCGCAGUAA